CAUGAUUCCUGGAAUAAAAAUUAGAGCAAAUCCCAUCAUAAUCUAUGAUUAAAAUCAUAUUGAUAUAUUAAUUCUUUCUGUUCAUAAUUAAAGAAAUGUACAUGGAAUACUGAACAGUAUUUAUUACAUUUUCUAUCUUUCAGUGUAGUGUCUGAAUGCAUACGAAAGAGGCUUCAAUGUUCAUUUGAUUUCAGAUAGAUUCCAAGAGGCAAUGUUUCCCUGAAUCCCCAACAUUCAAAGGCACAUAGAUUUAGUAACAUACACAGAGGACUUUGGGGAAGCUUAUCUGUAUGUUUACCUAAAGGAUUUCUCUUUGCCUUUGAGAUCACCAAUGAGGAUCAGUCAAGCUUGUCAGGAAGUUGUAAGAAUCUGUUUUGUCUUUGCACAAUACUUUUCUACAACUGGGGUUGUAAGGGGUAUACCACACCCAUAUAUAUCUCUCCCUCUCCCUCCUCCUUCCCAUCUCAGUUUGUGUGUGUGUGUGUGUGUGUGUGUGUGUGUGUGUGUGUGUGUGUG
ensembl:lncRNA